UACGUAGGGGGCUAGCGUUGUCCGGAUUUAUUGGGCGUAAAGAGCGUGUAGGCGGCCAGGUAGGUCUGGUGUGAAAACUCGAGGCUUAACCUCGAGAUGUCAUCGGAAACCAUCUGGCUAGAGUCCGGAAGAGGAGAGUGGAGUUCCUGGUGUAGCGGUGAAAUGCGCAGAUAUCAGGAAGAACACCAAUGGCGAAAGCAGCUCUCUGGGACGGUACUGACGCUGAGACGCGAAAGCGUGGGUAGCAAACAGG
rnacentral:rRNA from 1 species